UCGUUUCUCAUUGAAUAUAUAACCCUAAUCACAGUUUCCUCUCAUCUCUUCAUCUUCAUCACGACUGAAUCCUCCAUAACCCUAAUAUCCCUGUAAAGACUGCACACCAAUUCAUCACAACUCCGUCCACUGCCAUACACCUCCGUCCACCGCCAUGAGUUUUAUCAAUUGUGUACUUCGAUCACGAUUCAGUUCUGGUGAUCUACGCAGCCACCAUCACACUUUGCCGUAAACCUUUGUUCGAUGGAGCUUUCGGUCGUACCGUAACUACCAUUGCGCCAUCAGGUGUGCUCUGUGCUGAUAAACAUAACGCCACAUGAAAUUAGUUUGAAUUCUGUGAUAUUCAACACACCUAGCAAGAAUUUCAACGACUUAAAGCUCUAAAUUGAUUCACUAAGAAUGGCACUGAAGAGUUCAUUGAUGAUCGUGAAUUAGCUCAACAGAAAGCUGAAGCAGCAGUUAUAACAAAGAUACAUUAGAUUUGGUGUGUGAGUGUGAGGAUCUGUUAUUAAAGGAGUUUGGAUUGUUGAAGAAGAACCCUUGAUAUAACAUCCAGUGGGCGGUGGUCAAGCCUAUCCGUGAGCCACAUGUAGCUGUCCAGAAAGUUGUUUAGGGUAAUCCUAAUCCUAGGGGAUAAUUUACGAAGUAUUAUGUUCAGCCAUAUAUUGAGCAGUCUGUUGUUGGUGGUUCUAUGGCUGGAAAUGGAGCUUUUGAUGCAAUUGUUAGGCUGGCGAACAAUACAUACGCUUGGAUAAGAAGAGUUUGUACAAGUAUCACACACACUUCACUACAGAAACAAGUGUCUUGAUGUUACCAUUUGUAAAAACUUGGAUGGUUGAAUUUUCCAUCAUCCUUAAAAAUCCUGUACGAUCUGAAGAUCCAGAUGAUUGGAGCAUUAGAAUGGAGGUAUUUUUUUAAACAUUGUGCACCUAAGCUUCAAGAGGCCUGUGACUUUGAUUCGCUCUUCCACGCUGCACUAACGACGGUAAAGGAGUGUUAUUUUUUUUCAUAACAAAUGCCCCGCCGCAACGCGCGGGUCUCCCACUAGUACUAUAAAAAGGAGAAGUGAUGUACAAUAUUGUAAUUUUACCAUGUUUACAAGUUAUAAAGCACCCUAUACAAGGAUGUGUAAGCCAUUUUAGAGGGUUUCAUCUAAAAUUUUAAGACACCAAAGGGGUAAAAAGGGGAUUUCAGCCUACAUAUUGAUAUUGAAUGCUUCCGUUUCUAAUGAUUCAUGUUCUGGUUCCUCAUCUGCCAUUAUGAAAGAAAACCAUAAGUCAGAAAUCCUACCUUCAUCGGCCGUGAAACCAUCCAUCAUCUAUCCGGCCACUUUUUCUGAUUCCGAUGGCUCUGCAUAUCGCCAAACGCCUCCUCCGCACCCGCGCCACAACCCCUGCCGUCGCGCUUUUCUCAGCCGUUGAUCGGAGCUUUUCCUCCACCUCUUCCGAUCUGAUUCGCGCCACUCUCUUUCCCUGCGCAUCAGUCCAAAGAUCGCCGAAUCCGUCAAACAGGUUCGACUUGUUUUUUGCGGUUUGAUUUUUUUGGUCUCCGUCUCUUCUACUCUCUCUGGUGUGUGCCUGGUUUAAGGGGUUUGUUCCUCUCUAUUUGCUGAAGAUUUUUGAUCGAUUCUGUCUAUUGUAGCAAGGAUGCUGGUUACUUAUUUUCAUCUUUUUAGAUUUCAACAAGUUUGUUCCUCAUCAACACCUUGAAUUGCAUAUAUCGGUUCAUCGUUUUAUAUGUUUGAAAUUGAAACAAGUUCCUUUUCAAUCGCAGGUUCUAGGUCUUGAAACUGAAAUCAGAAUGUUGAAAUCGCUAAUCUUCAGUCACUGGCUAGGCUUCGAUGGGUGAGGUUGUGAUUCACUCGGAUUAAAAUGCAGAUUGGAGCAUGGCACCUGACCAGAGUGUCGUUUAGUGUUGCUAGGACUGGUGAAAACGCGAUACCAUCACCAGCAGAUUUACCCAGCCUCUCCGAAGCCGGAAAGCUUACAUCCGAACGUGUCUGCGGCUGUAAAUGGUGUCACUCUUGUUGGAACCCUAUCCGACCAAUUGUUCUUCGGGUGGCUCGGUGAUAAACUGGGUUCGGGAUAGGUGGCGACUACCCCGCUUUCUGCCACCAUCAUGACCGCAAAUUCGAUGAAGAUACUCAACCUGCAGGUUGGAAGGCUUUUGGAGUUUUGGGUCCUGGAGUUUUUGCAGUUGGUUCACAUUUGUAAUUGGACAAUAAAACAUAUGCUUGGUGCAGUCUGGUUUAGGACUGAAUGGAUUCAGGUCAGUCCAGUUUUUGUUCUAAUUUGGGUAAGAGGACCAAAAGAUUAAACCAUAUAUUAUACAUUUGACCUGUAGUUGUUACGUGAAAGAUUAUUACUAUUACUAUUACUAUUACUAUUAUUUUGUGCAGGCUCUUAUCCUGAAAUACAAUGAUUUCAAGCAGCCGGGAGAGAGGUACCAAUCAUGGGCCCAGACAUGUACAACAACUGUUUCACUUUCAAUUGUGGUUACCCACGAGCUCCGGAUCAUCUGGAUCUCAUACUGGUUUCAGACCCACACCCAUUAAAUAUUUAACCAUGCCUGAAGGAAAUAUCGCGUUUUUUUAAUUUUGGAAUCGCGAGUGAGACACCUGAAGAAGCAAGAUUUACAAUAAUUAGCCAUGUGGUUUACAUGGUGAUCAAUUGGGAUUACGAAGCAAUGGGCCGUGAGUUUUCCAAAACGUUUGAGGACUAGAUGAUGACAUCCUCGAUGAGUAUUGCAAGAUUGAGUUAGCAGGACUGCAAUUCUAAACACCCAGUUUCUGAGAUCAUGGAUGUUGCUGAAAGUUGCUCCUUAAAUAUAAUCUUGUAAGCUUAAGGUCAGUGACCUUCCAUAUUUUUUUUUACAUAUGUAGCGUGACGUUAGCAAAUCUAGCUUAAGCAUUUUGAUUUAUUUUUUCAUAUAUUUUUUACUCAUUAGUUAGAAGGUCAAAUGUUGAUUGAAUGUCUAUUUUUUUUGCGUUCUCAUGCAUUACUGAAUAUUGACUGAAGCUUGCCAUUUUAAAUGACCUUCCAUCUAAAAUAGUCUGAAAGUGUGCAAACUCUCCAUCAUCAUUAGUUUCUGUUUGCAAGAAUGAUAACGCAAAUGCAGCUUUGUGGAUUUGAGAAGCUAAUAGUUAUUCAUCUUGAGCCAUUCCAUUCGACUUUGAGAGAGACUUGAUAUCUCGCUGAAGAGGCAGCAGUUGCUAAAAUACUACCAGGUGACCCCAUUUGUAUGCUCUGCCAAAAAAGGUCACAAAGAUGUGGUGAUGUUACUGGUUGAGUUUGCUCCUGAUCUGGAACACACGAGUGAUUGAGAGUCGGAUUUCGCUGCAUAUGGCAGUGGUUGGCGGCAACAAAGAUGUGGUGGAGGUGCUGAACAUAGACGAGCAAACUUGAAUUCAACUUACUUCUUGAUAGUUAAAGCAAAAGAGAGAGAUCGGUUUUAAAUUUAUCAUGUAGAGUUUUUUUCCGGUCGGCUUAAGGAGGUUUGCAACUGCCUGGGUAGAAGAAGUGAAGCACUCUCUCGUAAUCCGAUGCAUAAAAGACAAGAUUUAAUAUUUUGAAUCUAUUAAGUUUUUUCUUUUUAAAUUUUAUUUACCGUAUACCAAUUUAAUUCAACAAUUGUGAUUAGUUUUGGACUUUUAGGGUUGUUUGGUUCGCAUAAUGAUUUGGAUAUGAAAUUGGAAUUUGUAUAAGAAUUAGAAUUUCAAGGAAUUUUAUUUGAAA